rnacentral:rRNA from 1 species
UACGUAGGGUGCAAGCGUUAAUCGGAAUUACUGGGCGUAAAGCGUGCGCAGGCGGUUUUGUAAGUCUGACGUGAAAUCCCCGGGCUCAACCUGGGAAUUGCGUUGGAGACUGCAAGGCUGGAGUCUGGCAGAGGGGGGGUAGAAUUCCACGUGUAGCAGUGAAAUGCGUAGAGAUGUGGAGGAACACCGAUGGCGAAGGCAGCCCCCUGGGUCAAGACUGACGCUCAUGCACGAAAGGCGUGGGGAGCAAACGAGG